GGCUGCAGCGUUCUUCAGCCCCAGGAGCAAAUUGCCGUGUCAGGACUUUGAUCCUGAUGGAACUCAGGGAGGGAUCCCGCAUCACAGAAACGGCACGAGGGGGAAAACUCGGGAGUCUGAGCGAAGUCUGCAGGAUCGGAAACCAGAGUCGCACAGAGCUCAGACGACACUUGGAGACGACGCAGUCUGAACGCCAUCCUCUCAGAGGAGCAAGCUGAGGCCUGGGGAGGCUCCAAAUAUUUGCCCAGGUCCCGCGGCUGGUGCGUGCCAUCCGCCUCGUGCCCUCCUGGAAGCCCUGCCGUGGGGACUGACGAGGUACUGGGCGCAGCACCCUCGCCAGGCGGCUGUUAGAUUGACUGCACGGCUUCCCAGGGUCACAGCAGCCAGUGGAGAAGAGAGGAAUCCAACCCAGGUCCGCCUGCUUCCCAAAUCCGUGCUCUUUCGAUGCUCAGCUUGGCCGUAUCAAUAACCGACUGUUCUAUGAAAUAAAAA
rnacentral:lncRNA from 1 species